CAGAACCUCCACUCGGGCUAGUUUGACUCCGGUAUGUUGUGAGUGACGUACAUGCCGGUCGCGAAAUGUUUUAGCAUGGAUUGCAGAGAUUCAGACUUUCCAAAUAUACUUUAUUUGUAUGCUACAGUUUAGGUAUGUUUUAGUAAUCGCGUAAUAUAUAUUUUACUGUACACGUUGAUCAAUAGAGUAUGAGGUGUGAAAAUCUGUUAGUUUAUCUAAUUAGCUAAUCUUACAUGAAAUAGCUAGCUAGCUAACAUAAACUGGUCAGCAACUUUAGCUACAAAAUCCUAUUCACAAUGUAAAUGAUGGGGGAGGAGACCCAGUCCCUUCACCUGGAUGAGGGACUGUCUGUAAAGGAAGAGGAGUUAGGACAGGCAGAGGGAAAGAUGAACCAAGUGGAGGAUGAACAACCAGAGGAGGUUGAAGAGGAAGAUGAGGAGGACGAAGAAGCAUUACCACACUCGGAAUUCCUGGACAUCUUUGAAGAAGGACUGGCUCGCCUUGUACAGGACCCUCUACUCUGUGACCUUCCCAUUCAGGUGACUCUGGAGGAGGUGAAUUCCCAGGUUGCUCUGGAAUAUGGCCAAGCCAUGACUGUCCGUGUAUGCAAAGUGGAUGGCGAAGUAAUGCCCAUAGUGGUGGUGCAGAAUGCUAUGGUGCUGGAUUUGAAGAAAGCCAUUCAGAGGUUCAUGGAGCUGAAACAGCAACGGGAGGGUGGGGUGAAGCACGUCAGCUGGAGAUACGUAUGGAGAACCUUUCAUCUCAUAUUUCAAGGGGAGAAGCUUGAUGAUGACAAAAUUAAACUAAAGGAUUAUGGGAUCAGAAACAGAGAUGAGGUGACAUUCAUGAAGAGACUGAGGAAGAAGUGAAAUGGAGGUAGUCCUUGUUGAAAACAAGCAAAAUAUUUCACUAUUUCCUGGCGUACAUAGAGGAGCAUCACAGUUCCCACAGCACAAUCUGGGAGCAACCAGUGAAACCAGCUCCCAAGAUGUCUGGCUCUUCUGAGCACAGGGAGCUGGAUAGGAUCUCCAUGGAGAUGAACCAACUGUCAUUCAGGAGGCAGCAACUGAUUGAUCGCAGGAACAUGCUGACCAUUCUGCAGGAGUUCAGGAACCGCACCAACCGCAGUAGCACAGAUGGCUCCAAGGAGCAGACUGAGAUUCAAUGCCUUGAUAAGGAACUGCUGGAGCUGUCUGAGAAGAAGAGAGAGCUGCAGGAAAGGCAAGAUAACAUUCUCCAUUCCAAGGACCAAAUAAAAGAGUGCAUCAUCAGUCAGGGGGGCGUAUCUGUUCUCCCUGACCCCUCUGUUGUCUUUGUUGAAGCUCCACCCUCUAUACCAGCUCCGGAGGUCAUUCUGGACAUCCAGAAACUUCCUCCCUGCUCAUCUCAGACCCAGUGCCCACAGUGUCGACAGUUCAUCACCACAGAGAUUGUCACUUCAAUAGGCAAUGUGGCCUGUCUGGUCUGUAUCACAAUGUCUAUACUUGGCUGUGUGGCUGGCUGCUGCCUUAUCCCUUUCUGCAUUGAUAACUUCAAAGAUGUCACGCAUAGAUGUCCUAAGUGUCGAAGUCCAAUAAUUACCAUCAAAAAGCUCUGAGGUAAGAGCCCACAUGUACACAGAGACUAAUAAACAGGUCUCAGACUGGGCUUGGACAUCCCCUCUUGUGAUGAUGAGGCAUCUACCAUGAAUCUGAGGUGACCCAUUUGGGGUUCAGUAGACACCCUGUCCCAUCCUGCAGGUAUAGGACAGCAGUGGAUGAGGAGGAAAUGGACAAUGAAUGUUGAAUGGAGCCAAGCCAUAGUGAAACAUGUUCUGCUGAGUGAGAAGUGAUCCUAAAUUCCCAACAACCGUACUGUGGUCAGUGUCACUCCCACCACUCCUGUGAUGUCGUCAUCCUGUACAUUUUAAGUUAGUAUGUAUCGCAUUGUUCUUGGAAUAAAAUGUCUUCAUCGAUGCAAUUUAUUAGAGAAACUGCAUUAAAUUGUUUAUUUUUAUUAAAUGUUUUAUUGACCUGCAAAAAGCCUGUGUGAAUUGUAAAACAGAGGAAAAUAGUGUUUCAAGGUCUGUAAACUCUAAAGCUGCAUGUGACUUAUCCAAGCCUAGUGGUGGCUGUGUUAGGAACUCCUUGGUAAACAAAAAGUCACAUGAUAGGGUUGUUUUAUUUACUAAACACAACUGAAUGAUUUUCACACACAAUGUACAUUACCAUUUUUAUUGACACAAAAAGGCUAUAUA